rnacentral:rRNA from 1 species
GUGUCAGCCGCCGCGGUAAUACGUAGGUGGCGAGCGUUACUCGGAAUUACUAGGCGUAAAGCGCGUGUAGGCGGGAGGUUAAGUCUGCUGUUAAAUCUCAUGGCUCAACCAUGAAAUGCCGGCGGAUACUGGCCUUCUUGAAUUCGGUAGAGGUAACUGGAAUUCCAGGUGUAGCGGUGAAAUGCGUAGAUAUCUGGAAGAACGCCAAAGGCGAAGGCAGGUUACUGGGCCGCAAUUGACGCUGAGACGCGAAAGCUAGGGGAGCAAACAGGAUUAGAAACCCCGGUAGUCC